CAGCCCUUGACAUGGGACUCGCCGGGAGCAGAGACGCUCCCUUCGGUUCGGCCGGAGUCCGCACAGGUGCUGCAUGGCUGUCGUCAGCUCGUGUCGUGAGAUGUUGGGUUAAGUCCCGCAACGAGCGCAACCCUCGUCUCCAGUUGCCAUCAGGUUAAGCUGGGCACUUUGGAGAAACUGCCGGUGACAAGCCGGAGGAAGGUGGGGAUGACGUCAAGUCCUCAUGGCCCUUACGGGCUGGGCUACACACGUGCUACAAUGGCGGUGACUAUGGGAUGCGAAGGCGCGAGCCGGAGCCGAUCCUAAAAAACCGUCUCAGUUCGGAUUGCACUCUGCAACUCGAGUGCAUGAAGUUGGAAUCGCUAGUAAUCGAGGAUCAGCAUGCCUCGGUGAAUACGUUCCC
rnacentral:rRNA from 1 species